CUUGUUUGCCCUUGAUUGCAUAAAUAUGUUUAUUAUUGGCUAUGGGAGUAUUUUGGUAAUUUGACCCUAUGAUGUAAUAUUCAACAAAAUCAAUCUUUGUGUAAAAUGAAAUGUCAUUUUCUGGUUCUUUCCAGCCCUAGGCCGAACCCGUUCUCCCUCUUCCUUUCUCAUUUUUUUCUCUUGAAUUUUUAUCAACUUGGAUUUGAAGCCUUAAUUUGUGAGAAUUGGUGAGGUUUCUUACUCAAAGCUUAAGAGAACUUGUGGAUUACCGGCGCUUGCUCAGGAACACCUGGUGGUUUGAAAUCUCCACAUACUUGGGAUACCAGGUAAGACAGUAGUUAGCAGGUAGAGUUAAGCGAGGUGGCGCUCAUGUUUGAUAUUACGCUUUUGAUUAAAUGAGAAAUCGAGAUUAGGGUUAUUACCCUAAAGUGAGCGGUUAUAUGGUCUAGGGUUAUUACUCUAGUGAUUAAAUAAUUUUGAAUGCAAUGCCAUGCUAUAUGUGUUGUAAUAAAUAAUUAUGUGGGUAAGGCAUAAUUUGGUUAGACUCGGUAAUUAAAAUCGAGAUAAACUAAUCUAAGGCCUUAUUAUAAAUAGACGUGUGAGAGCAACACAUAGGUCUAUGCUAAAUAGACAGUAGAUGCGGUGGCAUCAAUAUUUAUUUGCAUAGAGAAUAUAUUAUUUAUUAUUAUUUAUACUGUUUUGUUGGGCUUGACUCAUGGGUACUCUACAAAAGGGUAAAACUAUUUGUGAUCAGCCAUGAGUUUGAGGGCUUAGCGGUGGAUUGUACAUGUUCGGGUCACACUAGACCACGCGGCUUGGGUCUACUAGCUAUUGUAUCUAUAUUCUCGGUUUUUUGCUUAGGUCGACACGUUAAAGUGACUUGUAAUAUUUUGUGAAAACUUUUACGGGAUCCCAGAUCAUGUGUUAUAUUUUGAAAUGGUUUGAAAAGUUUAAACAGUUACAAGUUAAAUAUUUA